ACCCUAUAGAGAUAUAGUUUCCCCUUCGGGGGCAACGGUGACAGGUGGUGCAUGGUUGUCGUCAGCUCGUGUCGUGAGAUGUUGGGUUAAGUCCCGCAACGAGCGCAACCCUUGAUCUUAGUUGCCAUCAUUUAGUUGGGCACUCUAAGGUGACUGCCGGUGACAAACCGGAGGAAGGUGGGGAUGACGUCAAAUCAUCAUGCCCCUUAUGACCUGGGCUACACACGUGCUACAAUGGACGAUACAAACGGUUGCCAACUCGCGAGAGGGAGCUAAUCCGAUAAAGUCGUUCUCAGUUCGGAUUGUAGGCUGCAACUCGCCUACAUGAAGCCGGAAUCGCUAGUAAUCGCGGAUCAGCAUGCCGCGGUGAAUACGUUCCCGGGCCUUGUACACACCGCCCGUCACACCACGAGAGUUUGUAACACCCGAAGUCGGUGAGGUAACCUUUUGGAGCCAGCCGCCGAAGGUGGGAUAGAUGAUUGGGGUGAAGUCGUAAAGGGUAAACCCGUA
rnacentral:rRNA from 1 species